CAAAUCAGUGACGUGAGAGAGACGCCGAACCACCAACAAACGUCUCACAAAUAGGCUAAAUACUGUGUGGACGGAGAUAAGAUUGAAAGGGCUUCCUGUCUGUGACCGGGGGAGACAUGGGCGCUGGCCAUCACCUUUACUGACUCUACUGGGAGAGAGAGAGAGAGAGUGAGAGGGAGGGGGGGAGAGAUAGAUAGGGAGAGAACAUUAGAAAAAGGAAGAAAGGGAGAGAGAGAAAGAUGGAGGCAGGAAUCUGCCAGGAUUUCUGAUCCUGCCUGGGCAGAACUCGGCUGUGAUCAUAACAUUAAUAUUCAUGAACUCGGCCCCUCCCAUCCCAACUCAGACCCCCUCCCCCCACCCUUUCUCCCCCACCACCCUUUCUCCCCCUCACCCCACUCCCUCUCUCCCUCCAUUGGGUGGCAACACUUGGUAGUGCCACAUGGUGAGACAGCUGUUGCAGGCCAACAUGGGCAUCUGUGCCCACUACAGAGAGAGAGUUCAGGCGAGGAAGGAGGGAGGGGUGGGGUGGCAUCAGUUGGGCCAGGGCAGGGCAGGGAGAGAGAGAGGCCAUCAGUGGGCCAGGGCAGGGCAGGGAGAGAGAGAGGCCAUCAGUGGGCCAGGACACUGAGGGCAGGGCAGGGAGAAAGGGAGACGACCCUGAUGCAACCUGAGGCCUGGACUGAAGGAGAGAUAAGGGAGAGAGGGGUAUAAUCACCCAACCCCAGCUGUGGGUAAAAAGUAGAGAGAUGGAAAGAGAGACAGGGAGAAAGAGAGAGAAAGAGACAGGGAAAAAGAGACUGUGAGAAAGAGGGAGAGAGAGGGCAUCCCAAGCAUCCCAUGCCAGCUUGUUAUGGGUGAAACGUAGCACCUGUCCUUUAAGAGCAGAGCAUUAGCAUGAUAAAACCAUUCAUACUCCCAGUUCCAUGUGAAGUGUUAAGAGUUCUCUCAAUACAUACACUAACAACCCAUCCAUUCUCUCUCGCUCUCACUCUCUUUCUAGCGCUCCCUCUCUCUCUCUCUCUCCCCCCUCUCUCUUCAUCCCUCUUUCUCUAACACCCAACAUCCCCCUAUCCCUCCCUCCCUGAUAUCUACAGAGGGCAUGGGACCAUUCCCAGGGUGAUUAUCCCAUGCCAGGUGCCCUCUCCUCCCCCUCUCUUUUCCUCACUCCCUCAGCCCCACCACACACCCUUGCCAUUUCCCUCUCUCCCCGAGCGCCAGCAGUACCCCCCCCCAGUGGUGGUGCCAACGUGGGCAGCCUCUGCCUUGGCGGUUCCCGGGCCUUCUGGUGCCCCAGAUAGGCUGUGUGUGUGUGUGCAUUUUGGUGAGUGUGUGUGUGUGUGUGAGUGUGUGUAUGUGUGUGUGUGCACAAUGGGCCAGCUCUAUGUGGGCAUCGCCAAGCCUUUAAACUGUGUCAAUGCUCCAGAUGCUGAGAGAGACUGGGAUUAGAACAGGCGGGCGGGCAUCCGUGUGGACACACACACCAACAUUAACAUUGUAUUAGAAUCCCCAUUAGCUGUUACGAAAGCAGCAGCUAUUCUUCCUGGGAUCUACACAAAACAUGAAACAUGACAUAAUACAGAACAUUAAUAGACCAGAACAGCUCAAGAACAGAACUACAUACAUUGAAAAUAAGUAAGCAUGCAUUCAUACAUGUAUGCCUAAUCAUGUGAUUCAUAACGUUACUGAAUGCAAGUGUAACACACGAAAACUAAAAUGCAAUAACAAGGAGGUGCAUUGCAAAUAGGCUGACACUUUUUGCUAAAUUCCCCUGACGUGAAUAUAGCAACCUUGUUUCAAUAAAAUUCCCCUGAUGUGAAUAAAGCUACCUUGUUUCUAUAGUUA